UUUUUCUGGCUGUACGGGUUUUACUUCC
rnacentral:sRNA from 1 species